rnacentral:tRNA from 1 species
GGCCCUAUGGUCAAGCGGUUAAGACACCGCCCUUUCACGGCGGUAACUCGGGUUCGAGUCCCGAUAGGGUCACCA